rnacentral:lncRNA from 1 species
UCACAUGUACAAAUGUCGAAAUUAAAAAGGAGUCGCUCUCAAAAGGCUACUAACCCGGUUUCCCCUUCAAACACCAUUGACAGAUACUUUUCCCCUUCGCCGAAAAAUAUCGCAGUGAAUAGUUUGAAUUCGCCUUUAGAGGAUCUCACUCUCAGCAGUCCCCAAAAAAAGCGUUCCAAACUAACCGGAUCAGUUGAUGCCUCUCCUAGACUUCCACCGUUCCAUUUUUCAUGCCCAAAUGUGAAUAAAAACCAGUCAUCACCUACCAAAAGAAAGCCAUCAACGCCUACAAACUACUCCAAGAAGUUAUCCCCAAAAAAAUCUGUCAGAGCUCUUUUUCCAACUUCAAAAAGAAAAAGAGACGAUGUGGAUGACAGUAGCUCCUCGGCGAGAAGUUUGAAAAUCGACUUGAAUGCCAACGAAGCGAAUGUUUCACCGAUGAAAGUAGAUUGCCGCACCAGUCCCAGGAAAAAAGCAGGUACUCUCAGCACGGAAAAAUUUUUAUGAAGACUGAUGAUGUUCAUCGGGAUGAGCACUCAUCGGAGUCUGAAGAAGAAGUGGAAUUCAAAGGAGGAAAUGCAUCACCAACUAUCGAGUUAAUGGCCACGAAUUCUUGCAGUCAUGCUGUUUCUGAAGCAGUCUCACCAACUCCUACACAAGAAGGGUUAAACUUCUUUAGAGAUGUGGCAUCUUUCAUUUGUAAGAAAUACCACAAUCUGGAGCGACGUUUAAAUUUGAGCUUCCCUAUCUGUGAGAACAAAGAGCUCACUGAAAGAGAACGUGAGAGUGCAGCAGUUGCUGAGUCACUCAUGGCUGUCAUCCAGGUCGACAGUUUUUCUGACGCAGGGAUCGAUCUGACAGGAAACUUCUUAUCUGAAAGAAAAUACCUAAGUUGGCAGCUAUUGCGCCACAUCGUGUAUUUCACAAUGAAUUAUUGCAAUGAUGAAGACUGGAUGAAAUGUUUAAAGAUAUGCUUCAAUCAAUUAGCGCUUCACCCUCCUGUUUCAUGUAACAUGCGUCAAUAUUAUUCAUUAUUACUGGAUCGUGAAGAAGAAAUGAAUUUUUCUAAAAAAACUCAAAAAGGUCUUCUGACCUAUGUAAUGGAAGAACUGUCCGAGAAGUACAAGUACACCUCUCCAGCAAACUGUAAACGAGCAAGAAAGAAAAACCCCAAAUACUCAGAUUAUUCAGAAAUGGAUGAGGAGGUUGAAGAUGAAGAGAAAGGAAAAGGAAAGAAAGGAGCAGUAACACCACAGAAAGGAAAGAAGAAUGAGAAAAAAAUAGUUUGGCUUUCAACUGAUGAUGAUGAAAUCGAUAAUAGUGAAAUCAAUGAGACACUUCAGAAUGCCAUUGAUGAUGUUGGGAGAAAGCAACAAAAGAUUCUUGGUCGUGAAAUCCUGGAAGAAAGGCAGUUGCAAUUGUUUGAUUUUGUGAUAAGAAUUUUACAAGUUGAUUUUUUGGAAUGGAGCAAAAAAUGGGGUCUCAAUUGCCGAGAAAAACUGGUUUCUACACAUGAAUCUCCUCUAGUUGCGACGUUGAUGUGGGAUAGAAAGUUGGGAUUCAGUGCAAUUUCACCUCGCAUCAAAGAAGUCUUCCAUUUUUAUGUUAAUUCUGAACAGCAGCAUCGAAAAUAUUAUGAAAGAUUUAUCACUUUAAUGGUAGAGGUGAUGAGGAUAUUUGAAGGUGAGGUCACCAAACUAGAUGGGGCAUUAUUUAUGAAUUUCCCGCAUAAAGGUGAAAUGCUAGGUGAAAAGUGCAGGAGCUUUGCUGAUGAAUUUUUUCUUCAUUGUUUCGGUUCUCCGACCCACAUGUCUGCAACGGAAGUCCACAAUAUCAAUUUGAAAAUCAAAACCUUGGAGCCCUCUUGGUUGAGACUUCAUCUGUUAAAUCGACUCUUAAACCAAACGUUGGGCUGUAAACUAACUGGCAACUUAUCAAGUGUAAUUGAUGUGUUGAGAGCUUUCUCGUUUGAGGAUAAAAUAUUUGAAGCGUAUUCGUCGUGUGAACAAGAACAACCCUGUGGAUCUCAACAACUGAAAGAAAUAGUCCAAACGCAACGAACUAAACUUAGGAGCCGAAGAGCGAUAAAUAAACCAAAAGAUCCCGUUGGUGAAACUGAUCUGCACAAGGCCUGCAAGAAUAAGAAGGGCUCGAUUUUUUAUAACCGCCCAUUGGAAAAUCUAUUGGCUGUUCCGUCCGUAAAUAUCAUGGUGUGCGAUAAUAAUGGGUGGAUUCCGUUGCAUGAGGCAGCCUAUUCAGGCAACGUUGAAGGCUGCCGCAUUCUGUAUGAUCAUGCAUCUACUUUUGAUCAAAAAUUCCGUCUACUUUCAUGCAGGAGUAAUGAAGGCUCAACACCUCUACUGGAAGCUAUCAGUAAAGACCACAUUGAAGUGGCUGAGUUUCUUCUUAGUGUUGGAGGAUCAUUCCUGCUGCAGCAAAUUGAUAACACAGGAAGGACAGCAUUCGAUGCUUGCAAGUCAGAAGGCAUGCGAGAAGUACUGAAGAGGUACGAGAAUACACCAGUGAGUAAAUACCUAAGUGUGCCAAACCAUAUUUGGGUUAUACUGUUUGCUCUAAUUUCCUCCUACUUUGAAACGUAUGGCACUGAGGUCUGUUUCAAAUACCAAAACCUCACCUUGUCGCCUGCCGAUUUCAGCAAUGUUAGUUUCCCCAAUAAGAAGGGCCAUCUCUCAUUCAUACUAAAUUCUAGUCUUUAUUCAAAAGAUCUCUGUUUGAUAGGCCAGCUGCAAAGCAUAAUUGAAAUGCUGAAGGGAAAUAAUCCUGCAAUCAAGGAAUUGAAAUUGUUGGAAAUAUACUUCCGUGAGGAAUUAUACAUUUACAUCUCGUAAAAAUUUUAGUGGAAACUCCUCUAGUUUAGUUGUAUUUCCUAUUUCAACUGGUGCAUAUCUGUGUCUUCUAACAAGCAAUUUAUUUCUGAACUUUAUUUCCAUGCUUAUACAGAGGUUCCUCCGUACCUCGCCACUAAGCAGCUUUACUUUUGAUUUAUGUCGUUUUUUUAUGAUAAGGACAAUGAAGACUGUUGUGUAUUUUACUGUUUGUUAAUUCCUAGAAAUUAAUUUUGUGAAAUUGUAAUGUGUACUAUCCUGUGAAAUCGAUUUGCGUUUCAUACCUCCCAUCGAUGAGAAAUCAAGAAAACAGAGACUGCAAUGUGGCCUUUUGUUCUUUAUGCUUUGUUUUUGUCGUGUUUAAGUAUGUACCCCUCAAAAGACAGUAUUGCCUUACCGGUGAUCUUUAUAGCUUUUUAUUUCUAGGUCUAGAGGAAAAUUUUCAACACCUUUAACUAUCUGAAAUCAAUUUUCAGUAAAUGUUCCGGUAAUUACUCUUUUCAACAUCUCAUUUAUUUUGUUGACUUCUACAUUAGCUUUGAAAUGUGUACAUAUGUAUGUAUCAUCUGUUCACUUCAAUGAGUUUUCCCCCUCCCCCUUGAAGUUUCUUUCGUUUUCAAGAUUUAUAUUUUUUAAUUGAUGUUACCGCGCUUCAAAAUAUUCUUUUGAAGCUCUCUGUGUUUACUUUUAUUUAAUUUUUGUUCAGAUAAUAAUUUAAGUAAAUGCAGCAAGCCUUGCACUUAUCUAAUCACUCACCCCUUGGCUAAUAUGUGGGAGAAGAGGGGGGGGGGGUUGUAACUUAAUUUAGAGCUCUUUAUUCAGCUGUCAACUUCUAUCUUGUACAGAUUAAUUUUGCCAUGAGUGCCAACAAUGUAUUUUACAUUCCUGGAAUACCUUACAAACAAAAUCUGCAUAUUUCGUGAAUCUUAUUUUUGGAAAUCAUCGGUAAAAAUAGGAGCACAUUUGAAAUGGUAGGCAGAAUUUCCAAGAAGAAGAAGGGGUCCAUACUUUUCCAAACUCGCUAUAUCUUCAUUUCUGAAGUUAGUGAGACGGCCAUGUUUGGCUCAAUUGGAACACUAUUCGAUUUCUCUUUUUCUUUUUUGAACCCCUAAUUGUCAAUGUGUCUUAGUUUGUUGAAAAUAAUUUCCAUUGUAAGAGCUGUUGGGUUGUUUUUUUUUCAGUAUUUAUUUUACUCAUUUUCUAACUCACAUACUCAGGUAUUUUUAUUUAUAAAUAAUUCAUUGCAUCAUAGCUGGUAAAAGGGUUACCAUUUUUUCAGCAACAAGUUUUGUAUGUAGUUAGGGAGAGAUUUUGAAGCCAACAAGGUACUGAUACUUACAAAAGCUACGAACAAUGGACUUCAUUUGAGUGCACGUGCCUUAAAGCAUUAAAAAGUAACAUUGUGUUCAAUUUCUGUGAUUAGAUUUCUGAAAAGAAGUUUCAUGAUCAGAGUUCAAUCUAUCCUUCUUUAGCCUUUCUCUCAAGUGCUCUUGUUAAGUAUCAUUUUGAUUCUCUCGCAAAAUUUAACAUAUCUUUCUGCUCAGGGAGCGCCUCUCUUCUUCUCACCCAUACCUAAUAUUUUUGUCGAACAAAAUAGCAUUCCAGGAAAUGAGCCAGUUGUAACAUUACUAAAUUUUAUAAUCAUUAGUUGCAUUAACUAUUUUCUAGUCCUUGGAAAUUUGAGUAAUUUUUACUGUGCUUAUGAAUGAGAUGGAACAAAAAUAACUCAUUUAAAUAUAAGUAAAUAAAAUACUCAUUAUUCUAAGUUAUUUGAGGUCAUGUUACCAAAUUAGUACGUAUCAUUCUUAUCCGAUCCCCCCUCUCCCCCUAAACGCGUGGCUGAAAGAAUAAAAAAAAAAAAGGUUGAAAAUACAAGGAUGAAUAAAAGAUGUAUAUUGAAGAGACAGAGUUCAUGCUAUACGGUGGGAACAUAGUCUAAGAAAAGAGUAUACCCAUGGAAAUGGGUAACCUCCCCAUCCCCCAGUCCUACAUUUUACCUGAGAAUAGCAUUAAGUACAUAGUUUUUUUUUACUAUAUGAUGAGUGUCUUGAACUCUUAGCUUUGGUCUCAUGAGAACCAACUGUGUUCGUAGUCGUUAAAAUAUAGUUUGGCUAAGAAUAAACUUUAAAUUUUAGAAGCUUGUUUUUUGUUCAUUUUUUGUCGUUUCUAGUAUCACUUAAUUUGCUGUCAGUUUGUUCUUUGUUCACGUUGCAAAUCUAAAUUCCCUUUGAAUUUAGGACCUUAGUGGCAGUGGGGAAGCUUUUUUGUUACCUUGGAGCAAAAUUUUGUGAAAAUGUCAUUAUUUUUUUCACACUAAAACAUCAAUUGUCUUAGUAACUCUAGCCUUAGACCUUUUUUCAUCUGCAGGUUUGUUCUCGCUAGCCUAAGUGAAACAUCUUGUAGAUUGAUGAUGAAAUAUGCAGAGUGAGCCAAGGUAUAGGACUUUGCUCUAAAUAGGUAAAUCAGUGUGAUAUUCGAGGGGAGAAAGAAUGGAUUCCUGUAAAAAACUGGUGUUAUUCUCGGUAUGUUAAACAUUUUUAGUCUUAGUUUCUUAGUGCUGCACAUCUAGCCAGAAAUAAAUAAUCCCUAAAAUAUCAACCGAUGACACUGUACCUCCAUAAAUAUAGAGAUCAACAAAAAACGUCAUUUUCAACGGAGGACUUCAAAAUAAGUAGUAGCAUUUAUCAAUGGUAAAUAAUUGAACUUUGCUAGCUGUAUUGCCAAAACGAGUCUUGAGUUCAACCUAAAACUUUCACUGAAGGAUUUCUCAUCACAAGGUUUCAUGAAUAAGCCACCUAUGGAAAAAAUCCCUGAGCUCCUCCAAAAAAGGGCUCAAUCAGGCCCUAUUUUUACAGGCUCUCUGUAUAAUCCAACUUUAAAAGUUUUCUGGAAAACAAUAUGGUUUUGAAGGCCAAUUUGACCUGUUUCCUUUUUUGGUCAUUCCAAAAAUUGGAAGUCCGAAAUGAUCAAUGUUAUUCUGAACGGCUAUGUAAUUAUAAUCUCCCUCCGACAAGUUGAUUCUCAAAAUGCUAAAUUUAAAAAAAAAAAAUGAAGGUCAAAAUUUGCUCUGAAUUUAGCAUGAGGAAUUGAAUGCCAUUGGUCUAGAGUCUUUCUGAGGCUCCCUUGACUGGUUCUGACCAUUCCCAUUCAUUUGGAUAUUUUUGCACCAUUGCAAUGAACCUUGAGCUGCUAAGUUUUAGAUUCAGAAAACUGGUAUAUUGUGAUAUUUUUAAGAAGAUCACCAAGUUUUAAGCUAAUUAUUGCAUCCCCAUACUCAAGGGGCUUGGAGGACAAGGCGCAUGAUUGCAGUUUUUAGUGUAUUUUCCGAAGAAAAUUCACUAUUUUGAAAAAUUGAGAUAUCCAUGAACUUAACUGAAACUGGUUUGAAAGUAUAUUCUGUGAAAAAUUCACAGGUAAAAUCCAACUUUUAAGCAUCAGAAAGUGAGUGUAAACUUCCUUCUGCCUUAAGGCUCCAUGUUAUUUUGAAACUGUAAACACAUAUUUCUUGAAAUAGGAAAAACUGCACUUAGGUAUUAUGCGCCUUGUCCUCCAAGCCCCUCUUUUGACCUCUAUCCCUAGAACUGAUAAUUUUACCCUUGUUAAAACAUUUCCGAUUUAUUGGCCCAGUUCAAUAACCUUUUAUGUUGUAAAAUGCACCAAUGGUGAAACUGUAAAAUCUCUACCCCCGUUUUAUUUCAUUGAAGGAGAACAAAUCAAC